ensembl:lncRNA
AGUGAUGCCCGGAGCCACUCCUAGGUAUUACAUUUAAUCAGUCUGGGCAUCAACACUGAAAAAUCUCCCAGGUGAAUCUAAUGUGCAAUCAGGGCUGAGAACCACUGAUUAAGCCCAUAUGGUGGUGCUCAGCAAGUGGCAGAAGACUGAGGAGCUUGGCUCACCUUCAGUCUUGGGCUCAGAGAGAAGCAGAGUCCUGACCUCCUUGCCCCAACUGGCCACUCCGGGGCUGGGAUAAGAUGAGCCCUUGGAAGUAGUUCCUAUUCAGGGAGUUUUCUGGUUAGAACUGAUCCCAUCUCUAGAGGCCAAGUCAAAGAUAAAGGAUUUGAGGAAAGACAGAAACUGUCAGCCAUUUUUUUUGCUUAAUACGGAUCCAUCCUCAAGCAAACAAGUUUGGAAGCAGGGCCUGUGGUCUGGAGGCUGGCUCUGCGUCCCUUCUUGCUGGGUCUGAAUAAAGAGGGGAAGGAGCCUCUGAAGUCGCUUCCAGAAUGCCAUCGUUCUCCUCAGCAGAUGGUGGAGGAGAGAGGCUAAUUGAGAACUCCUGUAGCAUAUAAAACAAAAACCAGCCAAAGGAACCCGCAAGGACACUGGCUCCUAAAAUUUCAUCAGCCUUAAGGUACUUGAUUUGGUCAUUUGCUCAUUCAUGCAUCCAUCUAUCCGUUCAUUAUAUCCAUAAACAUAUAUCGAGUGCUUACACGUCGUGAACAAGAGAAAAUCAGUUCCUGCCCUUAUGGAGCUUAACAAAGCAAUGAAAGGAGCAGACAAGACAUCAAAAUUGGAGACGCAGCGUUAUGCAGAGUAUCCAAACAGGAUGAAACAAUAGUGACUGUGCGGCUUCUUGGUUUGCGGAAGGUUGGUCAGAAAAGGCCUCUUCAAGGACAUGACAUUUAAGCUGAGAUCGGCAAGUCAAGAAGGAGUCAGUUAGGAUAAGAUCAUGGGGACAGCGUGCUCCAGACAGAAGGAACUGCCAGUGCAAAGGAUCAGAGGUGAGCACGCAUUAAGGGAACUUUGUCAUCUUCCUAGAUUCUGCAAGUGAGUGGCUACUUGCCAGAGGGAGAGAAAUGCAGAGAGGCCGAAUUAAAAUGACAACUGGACAACAGAAACUCAUGAUUGUUGUGAAGAUCAAGUGAGACAAAGUAAGUGGUGUGUUCAGCCAACUGUAAAGCACCAUACAAGCUCUUAUUCGUAAACUGGAUCUGAGGACUAGAGGGGAAACAGGGAGAAACUCAGCUUGUGUUCAGAGGAGGCUUAGGCAGAGGCUGGAGGAGAGAGCGCGGCACAUUUGCAGUAAGGAGGUCAAGCAGGAGAGGCGUGAGAUGUGAAAGAAAACCAGGUGAGAUCUUAAAACCAGACAGAGAGGAAGAGUGGGACAUUUCUCUUCUGGUGCUAAGGGAUAAAGCCAAUAGACCCAGCCCUUGGUUAUCUGUGACCAUGGCUCAGAGCGCCCAACGCUAAUAGAACGUCAUCAUCGAUGACGACAACAAAAACAUUCUUUUAGCCAAAGACAUUGUCUCCUUCCUCUCAGCGAACUUUCUUUCUUCAAGCUGCUUUCAAGCAUUUCCCCUCAUUGUUGGCUCUUUUCAGACACCUCUGCAGAGGGGUCUUAAUUUGCAUCACCAUGCGGGAAUCUUUAUCUUGAGCUACAUGGCUCCUCUGAGCUGUAAUAUGCCUGCAGAAAUGUGCUUAGAGUUGAUCUGAAAGUGGUACAAAGACUGACAGCUCCUUUCCUCCUGACUUUGGCCGCCCUUCCCCGAAAUCCUGGCAUCUGCUAAAGGCCCAGUUGUUUUCCAUGGGGGCAAAUAUGCCUGUCUCUCUCUUCAAGCUGACUUAUUGUACAUUCCUUUCAUCUGCUCAGAAUCUGAUUUAAAUAUGAAUCCAUGGAACGCAAACACCCAGCACUCAGAAGAAUUGUAACUUUGUUAUAUUUUGCCCAAUCACAACAAUUGUCUUAUCAUUCUUUGCCUGGUGAUGUUCUGUCAAAAGGGACCAAAUGACGAUGUUUGGAAAGAUAGCAACACAAAUCACGUGAAAGUGAUUUAUUUUUAAUCCACCACACUGCGCUGUCCCCAAGUUAUUUGUGAAUAUGUAUCAAGCUCAAACUUUAAAAUUUUGACAAUUAAUUGGUUUCUUGCAGUUCCAUUAUUUCUCCCUAUCCUCUGAGUUUGAUGUGUGUGGAAAGUUUCCCAAAUACGUAUCUGGUAAAUUACUCCCAGACUCAAAGAUAGCUGCAGUAAAAUUUAAAAAAAUAAAGCUUCAGUCGUUCCUUUAUUUAAUGAA